rnacentral:rRNA from 1 species
GACGAACGCUGGCGGCGUGCUUAACACAUGCAAGUCGAACGGAAAGGCCCUGCUUUUGUGGGGUGCUCGAGUGGCGAACGGGUGAGUAACACGUGAGUAACCUGCCCUUGACUUUGGGAUAACUUCAGGAAACUGGGGCUAAUACCGGAUAGGAGCUCCUGCUGCAUGGUGGGGGUUGGAAAGUUUCGGCGGUUGGGGAUGGACUCGCGGCUUAUCAGCUUGUUGGUGGGGUAGUGGCUUACCAAGGCUUUGACGGCUAGCCGGCCUGAGAGGGUUACCGGCGACAUUGGGACUGAGAUACGGCCCAGACUGCUACGGGAGGCAGCAGUGGGGAAUAUUGCACAAUGGGCGGAAGCCUGAUGCAGCAACGCCGCGUGCGGGAUGACGGCCUUCGGGUUGUAAACCGCUUUCGCCUGUGACGAAGCGUGAGUGACGGUAAUGGGUAAAGAAGCACCGGCUAACUACGUG